rnacentral:rRNA from 1 species
AAUGAACGCUGGCGGUGGGCCUAACACAUGCAAGUCGAACGGCAGCACAGUAAGAGCUUGCUCUUACGGGUGGCGAGUGGCGGACGGGUGAGGAAUACAUCGGAAUCUACUUUUUCGUGGGGGAUAACGUAGGGAAACUUACGCUAAUACCGCAUACGACCUACGGGUGAAAGCAGGGGAUCUUCGGACCUUGCGCGAUUGAAUGAGCCGAUGUCGGAUUAGCUAGUUGGCGGGGUAAAGGCCCACCAAGGCGACGAUCCGUAGCUGGUCUGAGAGGAUGAUCAGCCACACUGGAACUGAGACACGGUCCAGACUCCUACGGGAGGCAGCAGUGGGGAAUAUUGGACAAAGGGCGCAAGCCUGAUCCAGCCAUACCGCGUGGGUGAAGAAGGCCUUCGGGUUGUAAAGCCCUUUUGUUGGGAAAGAAAAGCAGCAGGUUAAUACCCCGCUGUUCUGACGGUACCCAAAGAAUAAGCACCGGCUAACUUCGUG